GGGCGGGUAGCGCAGUGGUCAAGCGUGCUCCGUGAGCGUAUUUCUUUAAUCAGCGUUGUUUUGUCUCUCUUCGUUGUCUAUUAUUAGAGCGUUCAUUGAGAGACCUGGGUUCGAAUCCCAGCCCGCCCA